GGUCCCAUGGUGUAAUGGCUAGCACUCAGGACUUUGAAUUCUGCACUCUGAGUUCAAAUCUCAGUGGUACCU
rnacentral:tRNA from 1 species